UCAGAGAUGGCGGGCCCCCGCGCCCCCCGUCCCCAACCCUUUGUUGACCAAACCACUUUUGCCUCGGGGGCAGAGCGGCCUCCGCCGCCCCCGGUGGACCACUUAACACUGUCUCUGUACGUCGGAGUCUUCGAUAAAUAAAUGA
rnacentral:misc_RNA from 1 species